GACGAACGCUGGCGGCGUGCUUAACACAUGCAAGUCGAACGGAAAGGUCCUGCUGAUGUGGGGUGCUCGAGUGGCGAACGGGUGAGUAACACCUGAGUAACCUGCCCUUGACUUUGGGAUAACUUCAAGAAACUGGGGCUAAUACCGGAUAGGAGAUACUGCGGCAUAGUGGGAGUUGGAGUGGUUCGGCGGUUGGGGAUGGACUCGCGGCUUAUCAGCUUGUUGGUGGGGUAGUGGCUUACCAAGGCAUUGACGGGUAGCGGGCCUGAGAGGGUGACAGGCCACAUUGGGACUGAGAUACUGCCCAGACUCCUACGGGAGGCAGCAGUGGGGAAUAUUGCACAGUGGGCGGAAGCCUGAUGCAGCAACGCCGCGUGCGGGAUGACGGCCUUCGGGUUGUAUACCGCUUUCGCCUGUGACGAAGAGUGAGUGACGGUAAUGGGUAAAGAAGCACCGGCUAACUACGUG
rnacentral:rRNA from 1 species